rnacentral:rRNA from 1 species
GAUAUUGGUCAAUGGGGGCAACCCUGAUCCAGCCAUGCCGCGCGUGUGAAGAAGGUCUUCGGUUUGUAAAGCACUUUAAUUUGGGAGGAAGGGCUAUAGGCUAAUACCCUGAAGUUUUGACGUUACCAACAGAUUAAGCACUGCCUAACUCUGUGCGAGCACCCGCGGUAAUCCAGAGGGCGCAAGCGUUAAUCGGAAUUACUGGGCGUAAAGCGCGCGUAGGUGGUUCAGUAAGAUGGGUGUGAAAUCCCCGGGCUUAACCUGGGAACUGCUUUCAUAACUGCUGAGCUAGAGUACGGUAGAGGGUAGUGGAAUUUCCUGUGUAGCGGUGAAAUGCGUAGAUAUAGGAAGGAACACCAGUGGCGAAGGCGACUACCUGGACUGAUACUGACACUGAGGUGCGAAAGCGUGGGGAGCAAAC